GUCCUAGCCGUAAACGAUGGGCACUGGGCAGUGGGGAUACCUAUGUCCUCUCUGCCGGAGCUAAUGUGUUAAGUGCCCCGCCUGGGGAGUACGCUCGCAAGGGUAAACUCAAAGAAAUUGACGGGGGCUCACACAAGCGGUGGAGCAUGUGGUUCAAUUCGAAGCAACGCGAAGAACCUUACCUGGCCUUGACAUGCACGGAUUAGUCCCGUGAAAGCGGGAUGACAGCUCUUCGGAGUCGGAACGUGCACAGGUGUUGCAUGGCUGUCGU
rnacentral:rRNA from 1 species